rnacentral:rRNA from 1 species
AGAAUCAACGCUGGCGCCGUGCCUAACACAUGCAAGUCGCACGAGAAAGGGACUUCGGUCCUGAGUACAGUGGCGCACGGGUGAGUAACACGUGAAUAAUCUACCUCCGAGUGGGGAAUAACUGAGAGAAAUCUUAGCUAAUACCGCAUAACACUUACGAGUCAAAGCAGCAAUGCGCUUGGAGAGGAGUUCGCGGCAGAUUAGUUAGUUGGCGGGGUAAUGGCCCACCAAGACGAUGAUCUGUA